GAUGAGGUGGGUGAGUGGUUAAGGCGAUGGACUGCUAAUCCAUUGUGCUCUGCACGCAUGGGUUCGAAUCCCAUCCUCAUCG